rnacentral:lncRNA from 1 species
AGUUACUGCCACCCUCUCCCAGGUCUAGAGAGGGGUACCCACGGUGGAGGGAGGUGGGAGGCCGAGACGGCCCCGGGGGUCGGCGGAGACCCAGCGGGAGCAGGGGGAAAUCGGAAGAGCUGGGGGCAUGGAGCGGGCGAGUUUGGAGCGGAAUGAGCCGGGAGCCCUACGUUGUGGAAGGAAGACAACAGUAUAGGACCAUCAGCAGGACCGGACAGAGAGGGGCACCUGCUGUCUCUGGACCAUCACAGAAGUGCUAACUGCUGGGCCCUGUGGUGCACAGUUCAAGAGGACCCUAACAUCUGCUCUGCACUGUCACAUGGGCUUGGUCUCCUUAUCUCCACCAACUGCACCUCUGCGCAGAGGACAGGAAGGGGCCAAGCAGUACCCCCCUGAGGGCCUAGGAGGCAAGAGGAGAUGAAGGAAAGGCUGAAGAACUGGGUGUGCCCCAGAGGAUUUCACAGGACAGUGUCUUCUUGCGGGAUACACACUAGGAGCUAAACAUCUGUUGCCUGUACGAGAAUGAUAACUAGUCCACGAACAGCUUCCUGAUGCAUCCUGGGAGGUCUUGGCAGAGCCAUUCAGGGUCACCGUGUUAUCCAGAAAUGGCAGCCACUGGCUACGCGUGACGGGUCAAAUGUACAUGAACGCCUUGGACUCUGCCUUCCAGAUACAGAAUCCUAGCAGAGGGGCUGUCUCAGUGGGGAGGAGUGCUGACUGGAAAAAUGAGAGUCUGAGUUCAAAUUUCUAGAAAUUGUGCUUAAUAAGAA